UACGUAGGGUGCAAGCGUUGUCCGGAAUUAUUGGGCGUAAAGAGCUCGUAGGCGGUUUGUCGCGUCGAAUGUGAAAACCCGGGGCUCAACCCCGGGCCUGCAUUCGAUACGGGCAGGCUAGAGUUCGGUAGGGGAGACUGGAAUUCCUGGUGUAGCGGUGAAAUGCGCAGAUAUCAGGAGGAACACCGGUGGCGAAGGCGGGUCUCUGGGCCGAUACUGACGCUGAGGAGCGAAAGCGUGGGGAGCAAACAGG
rnacentral:rRNA from 1 species